rnacentral:rRNA from 1 species
CUGCUGCCUUCCGUAGGAGUCUGGUCCGUGUCUCAGUACCAGUGUGGGGGACCUUCCUCUCAGAACCCCUACGCAUCGUCGCCUUGGUGGGCCGUUACCCCGCCAACCAGCUAAUGCGACGCAUGGCCAUCCGCAGCCGGUAAACCUUUGGACCCGAAGGGAUGCCCCUCCGGGUCGUUACGCGGUAUUAGACGGGGUUUCCCCCGAUUAUCCCCCUGCUGCGGGCAGGUUCCAUACGUGUUACUCACCCGUGCGCCGGUCGCCGGCGGAAGCGCGAACGCUCCCCCG